GUUAGAAUCAAGUUAGUGACAAAUAAAAUUUGAACGAUACAGAGAAGAUUAGUAUAUAUGGCUCGUGCGCAAGGAUGACACGCAUAAAUCAAGAAAUAGUCCAAAUUUUU
rnacentral:snRNA from 1 species